rnacentral:rRNA from 1 species
CCUACGGGAGGCAGCAGUGGGGAAUUUUGGACAAUGGGGGCAACCCUGAUCCAGCAAUGCCGCGUGAGUGAAGAAGGCCUUCGGGUUGUAAAGCUCUUUUGUCAGGGAAGAAACGGCGGUUUCUAAUACAGAUCGCUAAUGACGGUACCUGAAGAAUAAGCACCGGCUAACUACGUGCCAGCAGCCGCGGUAAUACGUAGGGUGCAAGCGUUAAUCGGAAUUACUGGGCGUAAAGCGUGCGCAGGCGGUUAUAUAAGUCAGAUGUGAAAUCCCCGGGCUCAACCUGGGAACUGCAUUUGAGACUGUAUGGCUAGAGUGUGUCAGAGGGGGGUAGAAUUCCACGUGUAGCAGUGAAAUGCGUAGAUAUGUGGAGGAAUACCGAUGGCGAAGGCAGCCCCCUGGGAUAACACUGACGCUCAUGCACGAAAGCGUGGGGAGCAAACAGGAUUAGAUACCCUGGUAGUCCACGCCCUAAACGAUGUCUACUAGUUGUCGGGUCUUAAUUGACUUGGUAACGCAGCUAACGCGUGAAGUAGACCGCCUGGGGAGUCGGUCGCAAGNUUAAAACUAAUGAGUGAGNGNGAGAGNGCGAGAGACGAGAGGAGAGG